UACGGGGGUGCAAGCGUGUUCGGAAUUAUUGGCGUAAAGCGCGUGUAGGCGGUUUGAUUAGUCUGAUGUGAAAGACCCUCGGGCGUCAACCCACGGAAGUGCAUUGGAAACUGUCAGACUUGAAUACGGGAGAGGGUAGUGGAAUUCCUAGUGUAGGAGUGAAAUCCGUAGAUAUUAGGAGGAACACCGGUGGCGAAGGCGGCUACCUGGACCGAUAUUGACGCUGAGACGCGAAAGCGUGAGUAGC
rnacentral:rRNA from 1 species